UCAUCAGCUCAGUUGGAGCAUGAGACUCUUAAUCUCAGGGUUGUGGGUUCAAGCCCCAUGUUGGGCAAAA